CGAUGCGGAGCGAAAUUUAGUAGCGAAGUAGCUGAUUUCACACUGUCGAGAAAAGUCUCUAUCGAGGUUAAAGGUGCCUGUACCGCAAACCGACACAGGUGGGUGAGGAGAGUAUCCUAAGGCCAGCGAGAGAACUGUUGUUAAGGAACUCGGCAAAAUGACCCCGUAACUUCGGGAGAAGGGGUGCCUUCGAAAGAAGGCCGCAGAGAAUAGGCCCAAGCGACUGUUUACCAAAAACAUAGGUUUCUGCUAAGUCGCAAGACGAUGUAUAGGAGCUGACGCCUGCCCGGUGCUGGAAGGUUAAGGGGAUCUGUUAGAGCAAUCGAAGCAGUGAACCUAAGCCCCAGUAAACGGCGGCCGUAACUAUAACGGUCCUAAGGUAGCGAAAUUCCUUGUCGGGUAAGUUCCGACCCGCACGAAAGGCGUAACGAUUUGGGCACUGUCUCAACAACAGACUCGGUGAAAUUGUAAUACCGGUGAAGAUGCCGGUUACCUGCGACAGGACGGAAAGACCCCAUGGAGCUUUACUGUAGCUUGACAUUGAGUCUUGGUGCUACAUGUACAGGAUAGGUGGGAGACUAUGAAGCAUGGACGUCAGUCUGUGUGGAGUCAUCCUUGGGAUACCACCCUUGUAGUACUGGGAUUCUAACCAGAGGCCAUGAAUCUGGUCUUGGGACACUGUCAGGUGGACAGUUUGACUGGGGCGGUCGCCUCCUAAAAAGUAACGGAGGCGCUCAAAGGUUCUCUCAGUACGGUCGGAAAUCGUACGAAGAGUGUAAAGGCAAAAGAGAGCUUGAUUGCAAGACAUACAGGUCGAGCAAGGACGAAAGUCGGACUUAGUGAUCCGGUGGUUCCGCAUGGAAGGGCCAUCGCUCAACGGAUAAAAGCUACCCUGGGGAUAACAGGCUGAUCUCCCCCAAGAGUCCACAUCGACGGGGAGGUUUGGCACCUCGAUGUCGGCUCAUCACAUCCUGGGGCUGUAGUAGGUCCCAAGGGUUGGGCUGUUCGCCCAUUAAAGUGGUACGCGAGCUGGGUUCAGAACGUCGUGAGACAGUUCGGUCCCUAUCCGUCGCAGGCGUAGGAAAUUUGAGGAGACCUGUCCUUAGUACGAGAGGACCGGGAUGGACGUACCGCUGGUGUACCAGUUGUUCUGCCAAGGGCAUGGCUGGGUAGCUAAGUACGGAAGGGAUAAGCGCUGAAAGCA
rnacentral:rRNA from 1 species